AAGUUUUCAUAUUUUACAAGAAAAUUGUUCAACUGAAAUCGGUUAUAAAUCUGAGUAUUUCAAAAACACAUAUUAUUUAUUAUUUACAAACUUAUUUUUCCUUCGCCUAGUGGAAAAUAGUCCAAAGAAUACGAAAAUGCAUUCCGUCUUCCGAUUUUAAAUGUUUAUUGAGAAAAUCAUGAUACUUUGAGAAGCUUGAAAUAAUGCUUUUCCUCAAUAUUUUUUUAAUUAUAGUUAACUAACUUUUUAAACUUUUCAAAAUUUUAUGAAAAGUUCUUCUUGAGGUACAUUGAAGACUUCUCUACCACGGACAGUAUGAUCCUAAACCAUUCCGUACGUAUUAAAUUUGUACUAUUCAUUUUGCGGAAAAAUCUCAAACCUAUCAAAGUCACCCCGGCUACCAAAGUCACCCCGUUUUACGGUAUAUAUAUAUAAACAAGCUCUUCCCGGCAAACUUCGUCCUGCCCUUUUUUUGGUUUCCUGACGUUUCUGGCUUGUUUGCUAAUUCAGCCUCCUUUGAUCAAAAUUUGAUUUUACGUGACUUUCCCCAUACAAUCUGCAGUUUUUCCGGAAUCGGUUCCAGAGUGGCCAAAGUGUCAAUUAGUUAGCGUAUGAACCUUCCUUGGGCUUAUACGAACCCAACGCAACAAAGAGCACCUCGAUCCGACGCUCCGUAUUGAACUGAUUCGCGUUCGAACAAAACCGUCGAAAUUUUUUAUAUAUAUAGAUAGAUUUACUUUUAACGUUUUAAUCAAUUCCAAUCUAUGAUAUGAUUAUUUGCAUACAGAAAACAAAACAACUUUCUGUUUUUGGUAUAUUUUCUCACUUUUCAUAUAAUUUUUACAGUUAUACUUCUUUUUGGUUAUUCGAUUGAUUUUUCUAUGGAAAAGGUAGUAAUAAUCACAAAAUGUUAGUUUCCUUUACCGUACGAUUCGUGGUGACAUCUGCGUAAUCUGCCGGAAGUUAUGCAAUCCGCGUGCUACAACCCACCCUUUGGGAAACAGAGCUCUGUGUCGCGCGACUUGCUGCAUAUGUUGCAUAGUGAAUGGCGUGACAUGUGUUAUUUGAAAAACAUAAACUUUAUUUUGAAAAUAACAUUAAGCACAAAUUAGAAUAAAUUUUGAAAACUAUACCACAAAUUUUGCACAAAUUUUCUCUAUCAUUUGCCAUACUUGGUUUUUAAGGGGGGUCAUAUGCUCCACCCAACUUGCAGGUAAAAAUCGAAAAUUUGAAUUUUCCAUGGUUUUUGAAAAUGCACAAUUUUUUUCAAUAGUGUCACAAAUUCUCCACAAAUUUUCCACAAAUUAUGACGUUUUCGGUUUUUGAAAGUAACGACUUGGUCCGCCCAACUUGUAGGUAAAAAUUUGAUUUGUUAAUAACUUCUCAAAAGUUCAGUGCACAAAUUUUAUUUUUAUUGCACAAAUUUUCCACAAAUUUUCCACAAAUUAUGGACUAUUUAGUUUUCAAAAGGCUGACUUGGUCCCCCUAACUUGUAUAGACUCUAUUUUGAAAUCUGGGGUGACUUUGAUCAGAAUCAGUUUUGAAGUGUUCAAAUGUUAGUUUUACGUCUAUAGUUUUCACAUUUUAUAUGAAAUUUGUUCUACUGAAAAUGGCCAAAAAUUUUGAGAAUUUUCGAAUUGUGUUCCAAAAUUACAUUUAAAAAAAUAUUUACAAACUAAUUUAGUCAUCUCUUAGUGUUUUUUUUUCGAUUUGAAUUUAUUUUUAUUGAGAAACUUUGAUUGAUUGACACUUUGAUAAAAUUAAACUAAUGACUAAUGUCAAAUCUUAACUUUAAUUUACUGACUUUUUGAAAAUUUCAAAAUUUUCAAAAUUUUAUUGAAACUACUUCUUCAAAUACUUUGAACACUUCUCUACCACGGCCUGUAUAAUGCCAUACCAUUCCGUACGAAUUUAAUUUGUCCUCUUCAUUGAGCGGAAAAAUUUCAAACCUAUCAAAAUCACUCCGGUUUGCGGUAAAUAAAAGGCAAGGCAUGAAAUUCAUGCCUUACCUUUUAUGUCGAUACUAGUUCAUGUCAUGAACAAAUAUGAUUUAAAACCUCAAUAUGAAAAUAAAAAAGUUAGUUAAAGCCAAAGCAAACCUGUUCAAAUGGUAAAAAUGAUUAUACGCUCUUUUCUCGCGUUGUUCAAAUAAAUAAUAUAUUUGUACAGAUUUUUUGCCAAGUACAUACAAAUUAAACGUGGCUUGGGGGGCUUGGGCUGAAAAGUAAAUUCAGUCACAGGGGUAGUCGACAUUCGCGACGUUCUCGCAUGGCUUCUACCUGCUUCUACCAAAGGUAUACUUCCUUGACGUUCUCGCGCGCGUUCUGUAAAACAAAAAGAAGAAGCUAUCUGUCAAAAUACUCUCCGAUUCGCUGCGCCAAAUUUUCGCGUAAAAUUGCCGGUUCCUCUCAAUUUCGUAACAAGCAGCUCCACCGACGCCAGUGCCAGGGCAGGCUUUUCACAAAAAAUAACAACAUCCGGAGGGCAAAUACACAGCCAAAAAUUUUCAGUGAUGUCCGUUUCAUAACUGCCGCCAUCAACAAAUCUUUGCCGGGCCCGAUCGGGUUGGACAAGUGCUGGUGGAGGACGAGGGUAAUGUGACGAUCACGAACGACGGAGCCCCCAUCCUGCGCCUGGUCGAGGUCGAGCAACUGGCCACAAUGUGCUCUUUACGUUGGUCCAGCUACAGAACGAGACGUUCGAUGGAAGAACCACAUCGGUUGACAGCAUCGUCGCCGAGCUACUGGUGAAACAGAAGAUUCCCCUCACGUCAAUUAUCUAUCCGGCCUGCAAGGUGGACGAUUUGGGUCGUUUAAUGGAGGGCGAGAAACGCUUCGAAACCAGCUACGGCGUUGAAGCCGCUCAAAACGAGCUGAUCCUGAUCAAUGGAACGUGGAGUUCGUUGGAACUGCAGGUCAUCGCUGAUGAUGGCUCCAGAUUAUCCGCCGUCACCGCUGCCAAGAACGACACCGAUUGCAUGGCCAGAUUCUAUUGCAACUUGCAACAAUUGGCCGGGGCUUAAUUCUACAGGUCACAUUGCACGACAAUUACAGUGGUUUGAAGCCGGAGGUACCGGUCGACGCUGGGAAGAAAUGCAUGAUGCACAAACACACGCCGUGGAGUCCCGACGUUGCGCCGCUCUGCCUGUUCCGGGCUAGCUGUGCGCGAGGUCACAUGAUCACAAUCUUCGUCGAGCUGGUUCCUGCAGAGAGAUGCUGUUUAAACAGCAGUACAUCAUCAUG